UCCGUUAUGGUGUAGUGGCUAACAUUAUCGCCUCUCACCCCCCUACACUGCAUUCCAGAGCGCGAUAGCCCAGGGUUCGAUUCCCUGUAACGGAA